UUUUAGUUGAACAUGCACUUACUUGUACGUUGUACUCUAGGACUUGUAUUUGAUCUACAGAUGAAUGAUGGAAUAAUGUAAUUUACUUCUGUACCUCAAUUCGGUCUCACUAUAUUUCAGUGAGCGGCUUUUAAAAGUUAAAACUGCAAGCAUAAUACACACAAGUAACGUAACACUGUGUCGUAUUUACUUAACGUAGGGCAGUUGCGCUAUAUCCUAGUGGAGGGCAUAAUUAUUAAUUAAUAGGCAUUAUAGGCCAGAGAGAAUUUUGCGCCCCUUCACACCUGCACCCGGGGUGAAUGCCCCCCUCUUGCUAUGCCACUGAUUAUUUGGAUACUUUUGUGGACUAGGACUUGGUAUGGCCUAAUGGUUAGAGUACUCGACUCACAAUCUGCUGGUUUUGUGAUGGAACCUGACACUAAACAUGCUCCCCUUUCAGCAGUGUGUGUGGUAUUGAUGGAGGAUUAUAAAGUUAUUGUCACUCCCACUGUUGUUUAUUCAUGAGUAGCCAAAGAAUUGGCAGCUGUUGCCUUCCCUCUAGUCUAUUGCUUCAAAAUUAGUGGUAGCUAGUGCAAAUAUCUGUUGACAAGCUUGCACAAAAUUCUGUAAACAAACCUUUGUGGAGCUUUUAAUAUUUUAAAACUUUCAUAACUAGACAACUGCUAGUUAUACAAUACACAAUGGAGAUAGAUGAAGAUAACAAACUCUCGUUCCUUGACAUGAUAGUUACUAAGAUAUAUAACUCGUGUACUACAGGAUUUUAGAGGAAACCUACAGAUAACAUCCCAUCGGUGUAAAGACAGGCACCAUAGACUGCCUAGUCUCAAGAAUGGAAAAAUUUAACACACAUCAUAUGAAAAAAGAAGAAGGAAAAUACAUCACUGCAUCAUUAUUCGACAAUGGAUAUAUUGUACACUUGAUAAAGAAAAAAACUAUAAAUAUCAAGAAUAAGCAGUAGGAAAAUUGCAAACCCAACUAUAUUUUUCUAUGUUACAGGUCUCUGUGAAAACAUACAGUGGAUACAUAAACAGCCUAAAGCCAGAACAAUAUUCAGAAGACCUGUUUCACGGAGUGUGUUGCCAACUUAACUUUUGAGAUGUGUGGUUGUAUGUAUGAUGAUUAUCCUUAUUUAUAUGAAUUAUCUGGAACAGUUCGUCGCUGUCAACAGUCUAUGGAAGAAGGAGUCUGCAAAACAAAUCCACUUAAGUCGGAGACAGUUGAUGCACGUCAUUAUUGUAAUGGUAUAUGCCGUACUCCAUGCAG
rnacentral:lncRNA from 1 species